rnacentral:misc_RNA from 1 species
GUAACUUGGAUCGCGCCCUACGUAUUGUUGAGGAAAUGAAAAAGGAGAGGCAUGUGCCAAACUCGCGGACAUUUAUGCCUAUCAUUCAUGCUUUUGCAAAAGCUGGAGAAGUAAGAAGAGCACUUGACGUUUUUGAUAUGAUGAGGAGGAGUGGAUGCAUUCCAAGUGUUCACACUUUCAAUGCUUUAGUUCUUGGCCUUGUUG